CUCAGCUAUUAUUUAAACCAGUGUUUCCCAAACUUGCAUCACCAGCUGUUGUGGUGGUGGUUUUUUUGGACUACAACACCCAUCAUCCCUAGCUAGCAGGGCCAGUCGUCAGGGAUGAUGGGAAUUGUAGUCCCAAAACAGCUGGCGCCCCAAUCUUGAGAAACACUGAUUUAAACUGAUCCCUGCCUGGGGACAAACUGAGGGGAGUGGGCCUUCCUUGACAUGGGUAACUGAAAGUGUUCGGUAUUUAGAAAGGACAAUUUAAUACCAGAAAAUUCUGGAAUGACUUUAUAGGAGAACAUUGCUCAUUAACUAUUUUGUUGUCCUUCUCCUUCUCUUCUCCACUUGUGCCGGGGGCAGACUUUGCUAAUCUUUCGUAAUAUGGCACCCUCUGCGAGGCCAAAAUUUGGCGCCCCCAAAUGGAUUGUCUCAAUUAUGGAUCUUUCUCCAUUUUUGUGCCCCCUCAACUUGUGGCAUAAAACCCUAAAUCUGGCACUACUUGUCUACACCAGCGACUGCCAGUGCAGAGCCAGGGGGUGGUAGUGACUCUGGAUUAAGGCUACAAUCCUAUGCGCAUUUACCCAGGAAUAACAGCAACUGAAAAUAGUGGGACUUACUUUUGACUGAAGUAAACAUGAAUAGGAUUGCACUGUAAGUAACAUGGAACUUAUGUAUGUGGUCUGAAGAUAAUCACUACCUCUUGUCUCUCGUUAAAGUAGGGGUGUUAGUGGUCCUCCAACUAUUAUUGGACUCACAACUUCCAGUAGCCCCAGGCAACAUGCCCAAUGAUUAGGGUGAUGUGAACUGGUGUACCAGUGGUAGAGAUGGUUGAAUCCAUCUAUUUCAGUUUUUCUUUUUCCCAGUCAGAUUCAGUUCCCCAGAAUUCCACACACAUCAUCAUUAUCAUCAUGAAACUACACCAGCGUUUUAGCACUGAUUCCUCCCAAUAUACACAUGUUUGCAUGCAGUUUUGCCAAAUACAUCUUUUGUAGAACAAUUUUGGAAUGCUUCGAACUCCUUCUCAAGGGGACAACAUUGGACACGAUCCCUUCUGGCUUUGGCUACCCCUUUAUUUGGGGCUGUUUUUAGUUGAGCCAACUGCCUGUGUUUACGGCAGCGGUUUUCAACCUUUUAGAGUCCAUAGCUUCCUUGACCAACCACAGUGGUACCUCAGGUUAAGUACUUAAUUCGUUCCGGAGGUCCAUACUUAAUCUGAAACUGUUCUUAACCUGAAGCAGCACUUUAGCUAAUGGGGCCUCCCGCUGCUGCUGCUGCGCUGCCGGAGCACAAUUUCUGUUCUCAUCCUGAAGCAAAGUUCUUAACCUGAAGCACUAUUUCUGGGUUAGCGGAGUCUGUAACCUGAAGCGUAUGUAACCUGAAGCGUAUGUAACCCGAGGUACCACUGUACAGUUGUACCUUGGUUCACGAAUCCCUUGCAACUCGGAACGUUUUGGCUCCCGAAUUCCGCAAACCCGGAAGUGAGUGUUCCAGUUUGCAAACAUUUUUUGGACGCCAAACGUCCGACGCGGCUUCCGAGUGAGUGCAGGAAGUUCCUGCAGACAAUCCGAAGCCAUGCCUUGGUUUUCAAACGUUUUCGGAAGUCGAAGAGACUUCUGGAACAGAUUAUGUUUGAGAACCAAGGUACGACUGUACAUUCUUUCUGCAGCACCCCUGUGGGGGUCAGGAACCCAGUCGUGUCACCCCUUGCCUGCAGAGCCAGCAGCCCCUCACCCUUUUUCAAACACCCUUGUGGAGUGUUCCCUCAGCCUCCCCUCUUCUCCCCUCUCCUUGGGAGUCCUCUGGGCAGCCGCUGCCCCUGAUCUCUGACCUGUCCCCCCCCCGUCCCAAAGCGAGGUGCCUCCUCACACUGCCCCACAGGGGCCUGGGAAGCACCCCCUGGCCAGCCUCAGAGGCAUCAUUUGCCUGGGGAGCUUGUAGCCACGGAGGCUGUGACAAACAGCUGUGCAAGCCUUUGGGAGGCAGAGACAGGAGAGGGCAUCAGAGGAGGGAGGGAAGGAAAAAGGGACAGAGGCCAGUGUUGCCCGUGGCACGCAUGUCCACCAUUCAAGGCACCCCAGGGUGCCACAGCACACUGGUUGAAAACCACCAGUUUACAGUGCUGCUGUUUUAGAAUCGCACUCCUCCCCUUAAAUUGUUUAAUCUUCUGCCAAGAGGAAUUAACCAGGUGCCUUCUGUGCCAACUUUUAAAUGUGUGCAGAAUAUCUUUCUAUUCUGCCAAGCCUAUGCAGGCAAUUAAGAAUAUUUCCUUCCACAGUGGUUAAUGGAUGUCUGUUUUUUGUUUUUCUUUUUUUAUAUGGAUUUUGUUGUACAUAUUUAAUUUUUAUUGCUACAAACCACUGACAUACUUUUAAUGAUAUAAAUAUUUUUAUGAAUAGAAUAAUAACAACUAAAACUAGUUUUAUAGGAGUGCCCUGCCAGAUUAUGACAAGUUUUCAGCAGCUGUAUAAAAUGACUAUGUUUUACUGAAAUGGAUAGAACAGUUUUAUGUAUAAGCCACUUUAUGAGGGUUUUCUCCCGGGGGGAUUAAAUAAAUAUAACUAAAUAUAAAUGCAAAAGAGUGGCUCCACCACUAGGGAUGGGGGAAGAAAGUCAAUCUAGUUCUCAUUUACAGGUGAAUCUCCCUAAUCUGCACUUUCUAAAACAAUAUGAGAACCAAAAGACAGCCAUCCUUUGAAAUUCUUUGAACUUCUCCGAAUUCUGCAAUGCCAACCUGGGCAUAAAUAUGCAUAUACUGAAGUAAAGUGUGAGUAUAAAUGCAUAAAAUGGUGAAAAUAACAUAUCAGAAAUGCUUCAUAUUACGGGAAAUUGGUUUGCAAGUAAUAAUAAUAAUAGUAAUAAUAAUAGUAAUAAUAAUUUAAUUAUUUGUACCCUGCCUAUCUGGCUGGGUUGCCCCAGCCACUCUGGGCAGCUUCCAGCAAAUAUAAAAGCAUAAUAAAACAUCAAACAUUAAAAACUUCCCUAAACAAGGCUGCUUUCAGAUGUCUUCUGACAAAGUGGUCCAGAAGUAUGUAUUUACAUAUCUCCUUGACAUCUGAAGGGAGGGCACUCCAUAGGGUAGGAGCCACUACCAAGAAGGCCCUUUGCCUGGUUCCCUGUAACUUCUUUCCAUAAUAUAUCAGUGCAAAAUUGCAUACAAACUGCUGGUUGCACUAAAAUGCUGGUGGAUUUUCAUGAGGACUUUGAAAAAACAAAUUGCCAACUGAGGUGGAAAUGUGGAGAACUGUACUUCAUAAUUAAAAAAAAGGGAAGACACUGAGAAAAACUGAAAUGGAUAGAUUUGGCCAUUCAUCUCCAUCUCUAAACCGCAACCUUUCCCCUCUAGGUCACUUUUCUGUGAGGGAUGCUCAAUCAUGAAACGCCCCACAAAUGAACUUUUCUGAACCCUAAGCCAGUCUGGGGAACAGAACGGUUCUGCUUUCAGGCUAAUUGUCAGUGUCCGUUCUUUGCUAUCCUUUAAUUCAUUUCCCUACCAAACUCGCUCCUUUACAUUCCAGCCCUCCACUGGCAUGUGUCCCCAAUGUUUGCCAAUUCAGGAUACCAUUUCAUAUGCAUCUGACAAAGUGGUCCAGAAAGAGCAUAAGCCAUAAUAAACCGGCCUUGAAAAGUGUCACGAUGCAAACGUCUUCGCUGUUGGAGCUCUGUCGCGAUCCACGCUCCUCUUUGGAACCUCAGACUGCUUUGCUGAGCGAAAGCAAUGAAUUCUAUUUUUACUCACCACCAUCACCUUCUCCUCUAGCCUCAGCUUCCACAACUCGCUGAGUAUCUCCUGAGAGGCAUCUUUGCAAUCCUUCCAGGAAGGCUUGUUUUCCCUGGGCAGCCUCAUCCCCCUGGAAGCAGCAACCAGUAGCAGCAAGAAGCCCAGAAGACAGCUUGCCCUGAGGUUCCUUGAGUUGUUCUGCAUCUCUGAGGAAUUCAGAAAGAGCCUGGGAUGAUUCACGAGGACUUGCCUUGAGACUGAUUGUUUGAGGAACCAGGAUCCCUCUAUUUAUAUUCUCUGCCACAGGUUGACUCAGGCAAAUAGUGGGGAUUUCCCUUCUGGGCCUGACAGGUGGGGAUUGUACUACAACUGCAGUGAUGUCAGGGAGCAGAGCUAAGUCCAGCAGAUCCCAUUCAUGGUGACAGUGACACUGCUAAGUCCACUGGAAGAAAAGCAGAAGUGAUACCAUGGUCUGGGCACUCCAGUGUGGAUUGUGGGUCACCUCAGAAAUUGGUUCAUUUGCCUAAUGGGUUCAGAGCGUAGGCAUCUCCAGGCAGGGUGGGCAAAGCACAAAACUCCCUUUUUUCUCCCUACCUGCACACAGAAAAUCCAAAUCAUACAUCAUCUAAUACCUAUGUCAGAAAAUUAUCCGGGAAGAGGAAACCAAGAAGCUGGUCUUCUAUUUCCCCAGCUCCCACCAGUCCCUCAGCGCCCCUUUCUCCACCACACAUACAAAACCCUCCUUUAAAAAAAUAAAACAAAAAAAUAAAGCCCCUGUUAUUUUCAAACCAGUCAAAAAAAUGACAGGCAAUUGCAAAUGUAAUAACAUUGCCGGUGAUGUGAGCACACAACGUCAUAGAAUCAUCUAGAUGCAGAUCAAUGUCAAACAUGUCUUUUCACAAGUGGCCAGGCAUGGUCAGUAGUUCUUGUCUCUAUCCCAUUGUGUUGAUGAAUUGAAUAAAGGAAUAGCAAGCGGUGGAAAAUUUUGUCUGUUUUUGUGGGUGCUUUUUGAAGUUGACAGGUUUAUUCCUCAGCUGAAGCAACAGUCCAAACCUGACCAUAUCGUGAGUCGAGGGAAUGACGCUCCCGCUCCUCCAGUGCGUUAUCUCUAGAUGCACUGGCAGUAAAAGAUGAAGCAACAAGUCUUUAAAGACAACAUCUUGGUUAGCAUCUUAAAUAAGUUCAAUAGGGCUAAGGCUGGUGGCGUAUUCAAAGGCUGAUCUGUGAAAAAGGGUGGUUUCAGAAAAUAAAAUUGUCCCUAGGGCAUGGCCACCACAUGUGGAGAUAAGUCCCAAGCUCGCCACAAGAUCUUCAACAGUCUGGGGUGGCUUUUUUGUGUGUACUUUCUGUAAUCCUAAUACCCAAGUCCUAUCUCCUGCCUUUCACCAGUUUUUUAAAAAACAGAAGCCUACAAGCAGAGCAAUAAACACAAUAACAGAGUUGCCCGUUCAAAUGUUCACUCUGGUUGCAUCCAGAUGACCUUUUCGUUGAGCAUUUUUCCUGAUUUGUUUGCAGGAAGGUUAGACGAUUUUUGCUAUUUAUUGAGCACACAUUCUGCUUUGUUUUCAGGAAGCUUAGAUGGUGCCAAUAUUUUUCUACACUUUCCAGUGCAUUCACCUUCACUUUCCUUAUUGCAAAAAGUCCAGAGAGAGGGGCUGUUGUGCAAGAGCAGUUAUCACCUGAAUUUUCCAAUAUGGGAAUUGAAUUCUACAUGAAAAUAGUGACAAUGUGGAAGCUCCCUCUGUUAUUGGCUGAGUGGUUUGUUUGCCACUGUUGACAGAAGUACUGUUUUCAUCCCAGAGCUCUGGAUAGCUUCUCUUUUCCUUUCAAUUUUCAGUGUUCAAGCCUAAAGGGUUUAAAGUUUAGCAGUAUCAUAUUGAAUUAAGCCCAGAAAUUAACUAAAAAUGAAUGGGAAGAAGAGCAAUAUAAGACAAUGGAGCACCCAUUUCUGCCACGUCCUAAAUCAGCUGAAGUUUCUGAACUGUCUUCAAUGGCAGCCCAAGGGAAGAACAUUAUAGUUGUCAAAUUAAGAAUUCAAAAUUCAAAUGAGGACCUCAAGUGAAGUUACAGGGAACCUGGCCGAGGGCUUUCUGAAGAAGCAUCUCCACCCCCAUUGCUCAGCUCAGACACUGAGGUCCAGCUCCAAGGAUCACUGCGAGAAGUGAUGUUACAGGGAACCAGGCAGAGGGCCUUCUCAGUAGUGGCACCCGUCCUAUGGAACGCCCUCCCAUCAGAUGUCAAGGAAAUGAACAACUAUCUGACUUUUAGAAGACCCCUGAAGGCAGCCCUGUAGCAGGAAAUUUAAAAUGUUUGAUGUUUUAUUGCAGGCAUGUCCAACAGGUAGAUCGUGAACUACCGGUAGAUCACUCGAUGUCUGUGGUCGAUCACUGGUAGAUCAGUGGCUCCCCCCAAAGAAGCUAAAAAUCUUUGGCUCCCCUAAAAAAAGCUCAACAUAUUUUCCUGCACCCCUAAAAUGACCUGAACCACCAAAAGGCCCACAGGGCUUUCCUUCCUAAAAAAAAGUUCAACGCCGCUUUCCUCUUCCCUAAAGAAGCUCAACAACUUUGACCUGAACCCCCCAAAAGGGGGUAGAUCACUGCUAGUUUUUAACUCUGUGAGUAGAUCACACUCUCUUGGAAGUUUGCCAUCCCUGUUAUUUAUAUUUUUAAUAUUUUGUUGGAAGCCACCCAUAGUGGCUGGGGAAACCCAGCCAGAUGGGCGGGGUAUUAUUAUUAAUCAUAAUAAUAAUAAUAGCGUUGGCUUCCACAUUUCUGCUUGCACCUAACCCAGAUCAGUUUAUUAAUCCAUACAUAUAGCAUUGACAUUGUGCUUGGCACUGUACAGCAGUGUUCUUCAACCUUGGAUCCCUAGAUGUUUGAUCACAACUCUCAUCAUUCCAAGCCAACUUAGACAAGGGUCAGGAGUGAUGGAAGUUGUAGCUCAACAACAUCCAAGAGCCCAAGAUGAAAGAACUGGCCCGUGUCUAAAUGCUUCACAAUAUACAUUGGAGAAGAGGGGGAUAGAUAGAGAGAUUAGCAAGAGUGGAAAGGGUUUCAGGGGCGAGGAGUUGGCUUCACCUGCUGAGCAGCAGCCUAAAGGAGCAGAAGGUGAAGUGACUCCACCUACUACUGCUGAUCAGCCUUCAUGCUUCUGAUGGGAACCACCUGGUUCCAGCUUUCUUAAGCAGUGCUUCCAGCCUCAGUCAGUUGCUGGAAACAUUAACAUUCGUUGUUCCUGACCAGGUCUUGCUGCUUCUUGCUUCUUGCUUCUCGUGACCUUGGACACUCGGCUUUCUUGACCCCCGGAUCGUCUGACUACGCAAACUGAGGUAA